rnacentral:rRNA from 1 species
AAUGGUAUCAGUGGUAGGGGAGCGUUCUAAGGACAGUGAAGUCAGACCGUAAGGACUGGUGGAGUGCUUAGAAGUGAGAAUGCCGGUAUGAGUAGCGAAAGACGGGUGAGAAUCCCGUCCACCGAAUGCCUAAGGUUUCCUGAGGAAGGCUCGUCCGCUCAGGGUUAGUCAGGACCUAAGCCGAGGCCGACAGGCGUAGGCGAUGGACAACAGGUUGAUAUUCCUGUACCACCUCUUUAUCGUUUGAGCAAUGGAGGGACGCAGAAGGAUAGAAGAAGCGUGCGAUUGGUUGUGCACGUCCAAGCAGUUAGGCUGAUAAGUAGGCAAAUCCGCUUAUCAUGAAGGCUGAGCUGUGAUGGGGAAGCUCCUUAUGGAGCGAAGUCUUUGAUUCCCCGCUGCCAAGAAAAGCUUCUAGCGAGAUAAAAGGUGCCUGUACCGCAAACCGACACAGGUAGGCGAGGAGAGAAUCCUAAGGUGUGCGAGAGAACUCUGGUUAAGGAACUCGGCAAAAUGACCCCGUAACUUCGGGAGAAGGGGUGCUUUCUUAACGGAAAGCCGCAGUGAAUAGGCCCAAGCGACUGUUUAGCAAAAACACAGCUCUCUGCGAAGCCGUAAGGCGAAGUAUAGGGGGUGACACCUGCCCGGUGCUGGAAGGUUAAGGAGAGGGGUUAGCGUAAGCGAAGCUCUGAACUGAAGCC